UCCGCGUCGGCGCCGCGGCGUGGCUCAGGAUCCCGAGCCCACGGAGGGAGGAGGAGGGCACAGACGCCGGCGGCCCGCGGCCCGCGCAGAGCCACACCUGGAAUUGUACAUGCUUUAUCUGGGACCCUGAUCCUAGGUUGGGCUGAAUUUUGGAGCUUCGGUGCAUGCACUCCUCCCCAGCCCCCCAGCUCUGGCUCAGACUCACGUUGCGGGCUGCGUCCCGGUCCGCUCCGCGCAGCAGCAUCACCCUCACCACCUCGCUGUGGCCCAUCUGCGACGCGAUCCACAGCGGCGCCGUCCCGUCCUGCCGGCGAGGGGACACGCUUGCUCCCACCGGGCCACCCGGCAGCCGCCGAGCAACAAGGAAAACGAAGAGACACCAGAAAGUCCUCUCUUCUUCCAUGUGAGGAUCCAGUGAGAAUGUGGCAGUUUGCAAGCCAGGAAGAGAGCUCUCACCAGACAAUUAAUUUGCUGGCAUUGUGAUCUUAGACUUCUCAGCCUCCAGAACUGUGAGAAAUUAAAUACCUGCUGUUUAAGCUGCGUAGUCUUUAGUAUUUUGUUAUGGCAGCUCAAGCUAACACAUACCACAUUUUGUUUAUUAUCAAUGAUAAAUGAUGGACAUUUGGGUUAUUUCCAAUUUUUGGCUAUUAUGAAUAACAAAAUGAACAUCUGUGUACAAGUUUUUGUGUAAACAUGCAUUUUCGUUUCAUUUCUUUUGUGUAUGUAUGUAGGAGUGGAAUUGCUGGGUCACGUGGUAACUCUUUCAAAGAACGCCCAGACUGUUUCCUAAUACGACUGCAUUAUUUUACAUUCCUACCAGCAAGGCAUGAAGAUUUGAAUUUCUCCAUCUCCUU